GUAGUCUGCAACUCGACUACAUGAAGCUGGAAUCGCUAGUAAUCGCGAAUCAGAAUGUCGCGGUGAAUACGUUCCCGGGUCUUGUACACACCGCCCGUCACACCAUGGGAGUCAGUAACGCCCGAAGUCAGUGACCCAACCGGAACCGGAGGGGAGCUGCCGAAGGUGGGACCGAUAACUGGGGUGAAGUCGUAACAAGGUACC
rnacentral:rRNA from 1 species